UAGAAUACAUGGUACGAAAAUACAAAAAACAAGUUCGACGACCUAAACGGAAUACGGAAACGGAUAUAGUUGAUGUAAGCGCAAGCGGUACAAGUGCAGAUCCAUCAAAUCGGACGGAUGAUAGUUUAACUGAAAUGGUUAACAAGCUUAAACUUAUUGUGCCUUCAGAUGAAUCGUUCUCCCAAAUCAAAGAAAUAUUGGAUAAAAACUACGGUGAUUCGACAAGAAAUGAGAAUAAAAAAAACGGAUAUAACCACCGCCAUGAUGGAAAUGUUUCCUGUGUCAACGGAAUAUGACGGAUAUCUGAUUUAUCAUGAUUUUGGUGUGAUGUUUCCUACGGCAAAAGAAAAUACGGAUGAAAAUUGGAGCACGUUGCAACACAAGAUAUUGGAUACGUUCAAGCAUAUCCACACAACAAUCAACGAAAGUAAGCAUACUAUUAUGAAUAUUAUAGAAUCUAUAACUGUAUACAAAAAAACUACUAAAAUUUUUACAGAGUUUGUUCGCUUGUUACUCAUAAUAAAACAGCGAACGCCGACACGAGGUGCUAAGCGUGUCAAUAAUGGAUCGCAGAAAAUAGUUAAUAUGCUUGAGGCUGUUGUGGAAUGGAUAAAUCCAGAAGAUGAUAUCGUGCAAUUCAUCGGGACAUAUCGAUCUACCAAAAACCCUGUGCUAAUUAUAAAAGCAAAUCAGUACACCUCGAGAGAAACAUUUAUACGCAUUGGAAAUCAUUAUUUCUCUGUAGGCUUCGAUUUGCAGCAUGCAUUUUUCAUUUUGAUUAAGACACAUUAUUUUUUUAAUUUGAAAUUUGAACCUUCCCUAUCCAACUUUUAUUCGUUCUUUACAUCGAUAGUAAUGCAAAUAACCGAGCCUUCAACUACUGUAAACAACUUUAUUCUUCAGUUGAAUUG